AUGUGCCAAUACGGGCAAUUGCCCGAGGGGCCGCUCUGUUUCUUAUUAAGUGGGCCGCUCUGUCCGGGAGUCAACUGCCCGUGCAAGUCCCCUUCCCUCGCCCUUUUCCCUGACUGUGUGAGCAGUAAAACAGACCUCUCUGCAGCCGCGCUGUCUCCUGUUGUAUUUCUCCUAAUAAUCCGCUCUCUGCUGGCAAGUCUGCAGGCUGCAGACAGCAGACAUGAUCAGUGGAUUGCAGAGUGAGCAUCAAUUAGAAACGGUCUGCUGUUUGCAGCCUGCCAGCAGAGAGCUGAUUACUAGGAGAAGUACAACAAGAGACAGCACAGCAGAAAGCUUCUUGCCAUGUUUCCCCUCCCCUGAGGCUGCCAUUUUUCUAGCACAUGCUCUCCAGAAUGGAUCCUAGGGGUAUUAAUGUGAAGCUAUUAGCUGACAGCAUUUUGAACCUUUCAAAAAUAGUUGAGAAUUUGUCCUCUACAAGCUCCAACACUGGGCUCCUUGCAAUGUUUCCCCUCCCCUGAGGCUGCCAUUUUUCUAGCACAUGCUCUCCAGAAUGGAUCCUAGGGGUAUUAAUGUGAAGCUAUUAGCUGACAGCAUUUUGAACCUUUCAAAAAUAGUUGAGAAUUUGUCCUCUACAAGCUCCAACACUGCUGGGCCUCUAGGGUCACAUCAUUUAACAAAACAAGGACACAUCAAUUCUGCUACUGAAAAGACAUUUCAACUUCCAACAAAACCCAGCCAAGUUAAUUCUACUAUUAAUCAGCUUCAGAACCAUAAUGAAGUGAAGAUGAAUUUCAGAUUCAGAUGGAACCUAUUUUGAAAUCCUAGAUUGUAAACAACUUGCAGACGAAGAGGUUGCAUUUAU